ensembl:lncRNA
UGGUUCACAAGUUUAUUGUUUUGUUCAUGGCUAUGUCUAGAAAGGCACACAGUAGAGGCUCCCAAAAGUAUCUGUUGAUCAUUGAAGGAAAAAUCGAAUGUUCUCAAAGUACUCAGGGAGUCUGGGGAGGCAAUGGGAUUACCAUUCCCACGUGGGACAGGCUGCUGCGGGAUUAAACAAGAUAACGUAUAUGAAAGUCCUGGCAGCUUAAUAAACUCAGGUUCAAAAUCUGAGAAGAGAGAAGCGGGGCUGGGCGUUAGGGAGAUGGGAGGGGAAGAGGCUGGUGGGAGUCACACAGGGGCUCCCCUAAACCUCCAAGGGUCUUCCGGGAGCUGGAUCCGCCUCAGCACUAUUGACACCCCUGCCCCACCCGGCCAGCUGGCAGGAAUUUGCCCCAUGACCUCCCCAGGCGCCCUCCUGUCACCAUGGAGACCAACAGCGGAACAAGCAGCCUGAUUGUCCCUGCUCAGCGGGGCAGGUGAAACCCUGGCCACGUGACCGAUACUGGGCCAGGUGCAGUUAUGGGACACCCGCCGCCUCCCAGCCUUAACCCAUUCCAUGCCACAGCCACCCGGGCUGGCCGCAGUGUCCCUGCCGCCUCGGGCCGCUCCCCUUGGGUGGGACGAAACACACGGAGCACUGCUCUAGGAGUCACAGCGGCCAGGAAGGAGUUCGGACUGGGCUGUGCACGGGCUGAGUGAUUUGGGGCUGACCUACUUUGCCUCCCGCGUCCCCAUUUUCUCCCCAGUAAAAUGAGGAUGACACCCUCCCACUCACAGGGAGGUCGGGACUGCUGGGAACAUGGACGUGCAAGUGUAGAUGUGACCUCCUCAAGGACGUAGCGCGUACUCCGUUUGCACCCCGUUUCUCCCCCAUCACCUCAGCCUACCAGGGGCUCCAGGAGACCACUCCUCCAGCAGCUUCACAUCCCCCAUGAGUGACAGCAAGUCCACUGGCCAGGUCCUAACAUGUUGGGGAGGGGUGGGUAGCCCCAGGUUGACCCCUCCCCAACACACCAUUUCCCGAGUCCUUCCCAGGCAGCAACAACCCGUCUCCUGGCCCCUUUGCUUUCUUUGGAGUGUUCAAGUGGAAACCUCAAGCCGACUGGUUUUUCUGCUUGCCAGCGAGGCCCUAACCAGCCAUGUGACAGGGCUGGGGCCCAGGACUCAGGGAUGUCUCAAGGCCCUUUCUGCCCCUAGACCCAGGGCUCUGGCUCCCAGCAGAUGGUCAAGGGUCCUGGGCCAGACUAGGCUGGGGUGGGGGUGGAGGACAGUUGGAAACCACCUUUGAAAUACCACCCUUCUGAAUCACCAACAUUAUGUCACUUCCCUUCCCUUUCAGUCUCAAACUCUAGAAAAACACCCUGCUUCAUCAUCUCCUCCAAGGACCCCUCCCAGGCCUGGGACCACUCCCCAUCUGGGGCUCAGAUGCCCUCAUCAUUCCCCUAAUGACUAUGCUGGCAAGAAAUGAUCACAGCACCUGGUGUGUUUAGAGUCCCCAGUGACCUCAAAGCCCUCCUCUCAUUAGGAGAAAACACCUGCCAGUCCCCAGGCUGACUCAAGACGGGGGCCAUUUAUUAGAUAAACCAAACGACUCCAGUCCUGCAGGAGCCCCCAGCCCAUGGUGGACACAGAGAAGGCCGGUUCCAUAAUACUGUACAGUAGACUCUGACAAAUGCUUUGAGGACAUGGGGUGGAUGAGAUUCGUUUCAACUAGGGAAAUCUGGGAAGGCUUGAGGAGGUGGCAGUUGUCCGGGACCUUAAAAGAUGUAUAGGACUUGGACAGCUGGCUAUCUGAGGGGCAGACACAACGUCCCAGCAGGGGGAGUUGUGGGGUAAAGAUCUAAAGGGAGGUGCACAGUGUCAUCCUUGGGGUGCCCGGUUGGGGAGUAAAAGAAUGUGGAGCAUAGGUAGGAAGGCAGGUAGGAUCAGACUGGGAGAAGCUUGGGAUGCUGUGAAGUUUCAACUCUCAACUUUACAGAAGGGGAGUCCCUGAAGGUCUCUGAGCAGAAGUAUGCUGCAGCAAGAGCAGGUACUCUUGCAGCUGCUGAAGGAUGUACUGCAGU